rnacentral:rRNA from 1 species
UACGUAGGGUGCAAGCGUUGUCCGGAAUUAUUGGGCGUAAAGAGCUCGUAGGCGGCGCCGUAAGUCAGGGGUGAAAUCCCGGAGCUCAACUCCGGAACUGCCCUUGAAACUGCAGUGCUAGAAUCCUGGAGAGGCGAGUGGAAUUCCGAGUGUAGAGGUGAAAUUCGUAGAUAUUCGGAAGAACACCAGUGGCGAAGGCGACUCGCUGGACAGGUAUUGACGCUGAGGUGCGAAAGCGUGGGGAGCAAACAGG